GAGGAAGUAAAAGUCGUAACAAGGUUUCCGUAGGUGAACCUGCGGAAGGAUCAUUAUUGAAUUAACUUGUUGGGUUGUAGCUGGCUCUUAGGAGCAUGUGCACACCCUUCAUUGUUUUUCCACCUGUGCACUUUAUGUAGUCCUGGAAGUCUUGCAAAAGAUACACCAGCUCARAAGGUUUACUCCUAUCUGAGUUUCCAGGUCUAUGUUCUCAUAUACCCCAUUAGAAUGUUCAGAAUGUCAUUUAUAGGCUUUAAUGCCAUUAAACUUAAUACAACUUUCAACAACGGAUCUCUUGGUUCUCGCAUCGAUGAAGAACGCAGCGAAAUGCGAUAAGUAAUGUGAAUUGCAGAAUUCAGUGAAUCAUCGAAUCUUUGAACGCACCUUGCGCUCCCUGGUAUUCCGGGGAGCAUGCCUGUUUGAGUGUCAUUAAAUUCUCAACCUCACCAUCUUUUACUAGUUGGUGUAGGCUUGGAUGUGGGGGUUGCAGGCUUCUCAGAAGUCAGCUCUCCUUAAAUGCAUUAGCGGAACCUUUGUGGACCGUCAUUGGUGUGAUAAUUAUCUACGCCGUUGUCGUGAAGCAGCUUACAUGGGGCUCAGCUUAUAACCGUCCAUUAACUUGGACAACUCUUGACAUUUUGACCUCAAAUCAGGUAGGACUACCCGCUGAACUUAAGCAUAU
rnacentral:rRNA from 1 species